GCGAGCUAACACGUUUAUCGGCACCGGUCUACCUAACGGACGGCCAGAUGUUUUCAUAGGUUCUAUCCGAUGAUAAGAAUAAUUGAGGUGAUGUGGAUCGACGUGGAGGCUCUUCUCGUUGCUCUUCGUAUUGCUUUUAGUAUAUAACUAGUUGAUUCUCUAAAGGAAAUUAGAUUAAAGCUAACCACAACAUAUUCCGCAUAGGUGGACCUUAGAACAAUUUGAUUCCAUGCAUCUAAGAAUGUGCUUCCAUUCUUUCAAUAGAGACGUGACAUGUUUUUUUUACCAAAAAAAAAUCCCACCGUAACAUCUCUGGAGUAGAUUCGGUUCCGCUUUUAAGCAGCCUAUUACGUGCAUGAAAGACAUGGCAGCCAUGUCUCUCCUUUAAAACAAAAAAAACGUAGCAGCCAUGUUUCCUCGUCAAAAGAAAAAAAAGACGUGGCAGUUAUGUGCCCAUGUUACAGGUUUCCACGUAACGUGUGUGUGUUUGUACCUGAACGUGUUUGAGGGGAGAACGUGAACGUUUUCCAUGCCGUUUGAUCUCAAAUCUAACGGUUAGAAUAAUUAUGAUGGUGUGGAUCAACGUGGAGCCUUUCCUCGAUACCUCUCAUAUUGCUUUUAAUAUAUAAUAGAUAGACAUACGUAGUAAAAAACUUUUGGAUUUGUACAAAAUAGGGCUGUUAUAUUUUUCGUAUAUUUUUCAUCC
rnacentral:lncRNA from 1 species